AACGAACGCUGGCGGCGCGCCUAAUACAUGCAAGUCGAGCGAGAAGACGUAGCAAUACGUUUGUAAAGCGGCGAACGGGUGAGGAAUACAUGGGUAACCUACCCUCGAGUGGGGAAGUAACUAGCCGAAAGGUUAGCUAAUACCGCGUACGCUCCUUGGACUUCGGUUCAGGGAGGAAAGCGAUACCGUGGGUAUCGCGCUCUUGGAUGGGCUCAUGUCCUAUCAGCUUGUUGGUGAGGUAACGGCUCACCAAGGCUUCGACGGGUAGCUGGUCUGAGAGGACGAUCAGCCACACUGGCACUGCGACACGGGCCAGACUCCUACGGGAGGCAGCAGUAAGGAAUAUUGCGCAAUGGGCGAAAGCCUGACGCAGCGACGCCGCGUGGGGGAGUGAAGGUC
rnacentral:rRNA from 1 species